rnacentral:rRNA from 1 species
GACGAACGCUGGCGGCGUGCUUAACACAUGCAAGUCGAACGGAAAGGCCUCAGCUUGCUGGGGUACUCGAGUGGCGAACGGGUGAGUAACACGUGGGUGAUCUGCCUUGCACUUUGGGAUAAGCUUGGGAAACUGGGUCUAAUACCGGAUAUGAACUGCCUUUAGUGUGGUGGUUGGAAAGUUUUUUCGGUGCAAGAUGAGCUCGCGGCCUAUCAGCUUGUUGGGGGGGUAAUGGCCUACCAAGGCGUCGACGGGUAGCCGGCCUGGGAGGGUGUACGGCCACAUUGGGGCUGAGAUACGGCCCAGGCUCCUACGGGAGGCAGCAGGGGGGAAUAUUGCACAAUGGGCGGAAGCCUGAUGCAGCGACGCCGCGUGGGGGAUGACGGCCUUCGGGUUGUAAACACCUUUCGACAGGGACGAAGCCUUUUGUGACGGUACCUGUAUAAGAAGCACCGGCUAACUACGUG